rnacentral:rRNA from 1 species
GGACGGGUGAGUAACACGUAGGAAUCUACCUAGUAGUGGGGGACAACCCGGGGAAACCCGGGCUAAUACCGCAUACGCUCUACGGAGGAAAGCGGGGGAUCUUCGGACCUCGCGCUAUUGGAGGAGCCUGCGUCGGAUUAGCUAGUUGGUGGGGUAAAGGCCUACCAAGGCGACGAUCCGUAGCUGGUCUGAGAGGACGAUCAGCCACACUGGAACUGAGACACGGUCCAGACUCCUACGGGAGGCAGCAGUUAGGAAUCUUGGGCAAUGGGCGCAAGCCUGACCCAGCCAUGCCGCGUGUGUGAAGAAGGCCUUCGGGUUGUAAAGCACUUUCAGUGGUCAAGAAAAGCUUAGGGCCAAUACCCUUGGAGCUUUGACGUUAGCCACAGAAGAAGCACCGGCUAACUCCGUGCCAGCAGCCGCGGUAAUACGGAGGGUGCGAACGUUAAUCGGAAUCACUGGGCGUAAAGCGCGCGUAGGCGGUUUGUUAAGUGGGAUGUGAAAUCCCCGGGCUUAACCUGGGAAUUGCAUUUCAAACUGGCCGACUAGAGUACGGUAGAGGGAGGCAGAAUUUCCUGUGUAGCGGUGAAAUGCGUAGAUAUAGGAAGGAAUACCAGUGGCGAAGGCGGCCUCCUGGAUCGAUACUGACGCUGAGGCGCGAAAGCGUGGGGAGCAAACAGGAUUAGAUACCCUGGUAGUCCACGCCGUAAACGAUGAGAACUAGCCGUUGGACCCCUUGAGGGUUUAGUGGCGUAGCUAACGCGAUAAGUUCUCCGCCUGGGGAGUACGGCCGCAAGGCUAAAACUCAAAUGAAUUGACGGGGGCCCGCACAAGCGGUGGAGCAUGUUGUUUAAUUCGAUGCAACGCGAAGAACCUUACCACCCCUUGACAUCCUCGGAACUUGGCAGAGAUGCCUUGGUGCCUUCGGGAACCGAGUGACAGGUGCUGCAUGGCUGUCGUCAGCUCGUGUCGUGAGAUGUUGGGUUAAGUCCCGUAACGAGCGCAACCCUUGUCCUUAUUUGCCAGCGGGUAAUGCCGGGAACUCUAAGGAGACUGCCGGUGACAAACCGGAGGAAGGUGGGGAUGACGUCAAGUCAUCAUGGCCCUCACGGGGUGGGCUACAAACGUGCUACAAUGGGCGGCACAAAGGGUUGCUAUCCCGCGAGGGGGAGCGAAUCCCAAAAAACCGUUCGUAGUCCGGAUUGGAGUCUGCAACUCGACUCCAUGAAGUCGGAAUCGCUAGCAAUCGCGAAUCAGCAUGUCGCGGUGAAUACGUUCCCGGGCCUUGUACACACCGCCCGUCACGUCAUGGGAGUGGAUUGCACCAGAAGUGGCUAGUCUAACCUUCGGGAGGACGGUUACCACGGUGUGGUCCAUGACUGGGACGAAGUCGAAACAAGGUA